rnacentral:rRNA from 1 species
CAUGCAGUCGAACGAUACUUGGUAGCUUGCUAUCAAGGAAAGUGGCGCACGGGUGCGUAACGCGUAUGCAACCUACCUUAAUCAGGGGGAUAGCCCGAAGAAAUUCGGAUUAACACCGCAUAAAAACACAGGAUAGCAUUAUCCAAUGUUCAAAUAUUUAUAGGAUUAAGAUGGGCAUGCGUGUCAUUAGCUAGUUGGCGGGGUAACGGCCCACCAAGGCGACGAUGACUAGGGGAUCUGAGAGGAUGACCCCCCACACUGGUACUGAGACACGGACCAGACUCCUACGGGAGGCAGCAGUAAGGAAUAUUGGUCAAUGGAGGCAACUCUGAACCAGCCAUGCCGCGUGCAGGAAGACAGCCCUCUGGGUCGUAAACUGCUUUUAUUCGGGAAUAAACCUUAUUACGUGUAAUAAGCUGAAUGUACCGAAGGAAUAAGGAUCGGCUAACUCCGUGCCAGCAGCCGCGGUAAUACGGAGGAUCCAAGCGUUAUCCGGAUUUAUUGGGUUUAAAGGGUGCGUAGGCGGCCUGUUAAGUCAGGGGUGAAAGACGGUAGCUCAACUAUCGCAGUGCCCUUGAUACUGACGGGCUUGAAUACACUAGAGGUAGGCGGAAUGUGACAAGUAGCGGUGAAGUGCAUAGAUAUGUCACAGAACACCGAUUGCGAAGGCAGCUUACUAUGGUGUGAUUGACGCUGAGGC